rnacentral:snRNA from 1 species
GAGGCUUUCUUGGAGGCAG